GAUGAAGAACGUAGCGAAAUGCGAUAAGUAGUGUGAAUUGCAGAAUUCAGUGAAUCAUCGAAUCUUUGAACGCACAUUGCGCCCUCUGGUAUUCCGGAGGGCAUGCCUGUUCGAGCGUCAUUAAAACUACUCAAGCUAAGGUUUUUUUUACCUUCUGCUUGGUCUUGGGUUUGAGGAUUCAAAAUCCUCUCUCCGAAAUCCGGUGGCGAAUUGUUUGAGCUGUAGACGUAGUAAAUCAUUCUACCCGUUGCAAGCGAGAAUAAUAUUCAGCCAUAACCCCCAUACUUUUCUAGUUUGACCUCGGAUCAGGUAGGGAUACCCGCUGAACUUAAGCAUAUCAAAAGCGGAGGA
rnacentral:misc_RNA from 1 species